rnacentral:rRNA from 1 species
GUAGGUCACAAGCGUUGUCCGGAAUUACUGGGUGUAAAGGGAGCGCAGGCGGGAAGGCAAGUUGGAAGUGAAAUCCAUGGGCUCAACCCAUGAACUGCUUUCAAAACUGUUUUUCUUGAGUAGUGCAGAGGUAGGCGGAAUUCCCGGUGUAGCGGUGGAAUGCGUAGAUAUCGGGAGGAACACCAGUGGCGAAGGCGGCCUACUGGGCACCAACUGACGCUGAGGCUCGAAAGUGUGGGUAGCAAACAGGAUUAGAUACCCUGGUAGUCUACACUGUAAACGAUGAUUACUAGGUGUUGGAGGAUUGACCCCUUCAGUGCCGCAGUUAACACAAUAAGUAAUCCACCUGGGGAGUACGACCGCAAGGUUG